rnacentral:rRNA from 1 species
UUAACACAUGCAAGUCGAACGAUGAACCCCGCUUGCGGGGGGAUUAGUGGCGAACGGGUGAGUAACACGUGAGUAACCUGCCCUUAACUCUGGGAUAAGCCUUGGAAACGGGGUCUAAUACUGGAUAUUGACUUUACCUCGCAUGGGGUUUGGUUGAAAGAUUUAUUGGUUUUGGAUGGACUCGCGGCCUAUCAGCUUGUUGGUGAGGUAAUGGCUCACCAAGGCGACGACGGGUAGCCGGCCUGAGAGGGUGACCGGCCACACUGGGACUGAGACACGGCCCAGACUCCUACGGGAGGCAGCAGUGGGGAAUAUUGCACAAUGGGCGAAAGCCUGAUGCAGCGACGCCGCGUGAGGGAUGACGGCCUUCGGGUUGUAAACCUCUUUCAGUAGGGAACAAGGCCAGUGUUUAGCUGGUUGAGGGUACUUGCAGAAGAAGCGCCGGCUAACUACGUGCCAGCAGCCGCGGUAAUACGUAGGGCGCAAGCGUUAUCCGGAAUUAUUGGGCGUAAAGAGCUCGUAGGCGGUUUGUCGCGUCUGCCGUGAAAGUCCGGGGCUCAACCCCGGAUCUGCGGUGGGUACGGGCAGACUAGAGUGAUGUAGGGGAGACUGGAAUUCCUGGUGUAGCGGUGAAAUGCGCAGAUAUCAGGAGGAACACCGAUGGCGAAGGCAGGUCUCUGGGCAUUAACUGACGCUGAGGAGCGAAAGCAUGGGGAGCGAACAGGAUUAGAUACCCUGGUAGUCCAUGCCGUAAACGUUGGGC